UACAGAGGUCCCGAGCGUUGUUCGGAUUCACUGGGCGUAAAGGGUGCGUAGGUGGUGGGGUAAGUCUCGUGUGAAAGCUCGCAGCUUAACUGCGAAAAGUCACGGGAUACUAUCCGGCUAGAGGCUUGGAGGGGGACUGGAAUACUUGGUGUAGCAGUGAAAUGCGUAGAUAUCAAGUGGAACACCAGUGGCGAAGGCGAGUCCCUGGACAAGACCUGACACUGAGGCACGAAAGCCAGGGAGCAAACGGG
rnacentral:rRNA from 1 species